rnacentral:rRNA from 1 species
UACAGAGGUCUCGAGCGUUGUUCGGAUUCAUUGGGCGUAAAGGGCGCGUAGGCGGCGGGGUAAGUCUGGUGUGAAAUCUCGGAGCUCAACUCCGAAAUUGCACUGGAUACUGCUCUGCUAGAGGGCUGGAGAGGAGAUCGGAAUUCACGGUGUAGCAGUGAAAUGCGUAGAUAUCGUGAGGAAGACCAGUGGCGAAGGCGGAUCUCUGGACAGCUCCUGACGCUGAGGCGCGGAAAGCGUGGGGAGCGAACAGGG